UCCCUCAUCUUAUACCCUAAACCCAAUUUCAUACUUCUUCCCCUUUCUUUCCCUCGCCAAGAGAGCAUAUGCACGCUGUUGUUUCGAUUCUCGUCGUUUGCAUUGCCGCAAAAGGAUAUUCACGAUAUUUCAGCGCCAUAAGUAUUCCAAGAGGCAAUUUCUUUGCUUAAGGUUUGAUUUUCUUUUACGAAUGAAUUGAAUUGAAUCGUAAGUAGGAUUCUAUCUUGUAUAAAUUGAAGAACCCGCCAACCAACACAUGAAAUUGGAUUCCAACAUAAAUUGUUAUAUGGUUACUUGUUUUGUUUAAUUCGAUUUAAGGAUUCAUUUUAUAGCCACUGAACUCAGAUUUGUUAUUUAAAGUAACAAUCGUAUAUUGUUGAGGAAUUGAUAAAUUGAGUAGCAGUGCAUUGUAAAGAAGAGCUAUAGUCAUUUUUACAUUGUCUUUUAGAUUAGUAUAUGUUUGUUAGUUAGUUACAUAAGUUGGUUAGCUUUGAUUAAUGUAAUUAUCACUUUAGUCAAUAUAUAAAUAGCCUAGUGUACAUAUGUAAACAUACAAUGAAAAUAUCUAAUAAUAGUCAUUUAUAUUCUUUUCUGUAAUUCCUCAAAUUUGCCUCAUCUCUCCAAAAAAUUCUCUGCAAAUUUCAAUGCUUAACAUACAUCAAGAAAAAAUUAUACUCGAGUUCUAUUGUUGCUUAGUGUAGUUUAAGAUGGUUUAUCUUAUAUCAAUACAUUUCUAAAUUAAAAGAGGAUGAGUUUAAAACUUUUAAAUGUGAUUUCGUAACUUUAUCUCACUUUUGAAGUGUGCUGCCAAAAAAAAAAAUUACAUAAUAGUUCGGGCUAACAUUUAAGUUUACUUUCAUGUAUAUUUCAUAGGUAUUAAUUUUAUGGCUAAUAAUAGUGAAUACAAGUUGGAUCCCGGUCUAUUGGAAUUGAAUGUAUUAAUAGGACAACUUACUCAUAGAUCACAAGAUAUAUGGGAAGGAAAUGUUAACAUGAUUCUUAAUACAAGGAAAAAAGAUUGAAAUUUUUGGAAACUAAUAGAGAAAUAUCCCAUCCAUCCACGAGUUCUUGAAGUAAUUAGAUUAUCUGGAUUACAUGGUGUUUACAAAUCUAAUCGACCUGCUAUUGACCAUAGUUUGAUCACUGCACUAGUUGAGCGGUGGCCUCCCGAAACUCAUACUUUUCACUUUAGAACAGGCGAAGCAACAAUUACCUUGCAUGAUGUAAAGGUGUUGUAUGUAUUACUUGUGAAUGGUGAUCCAGUACUUGGUAAUGAAAUGAUAAGAACCAUAGGGGAUUGACAAAACAUUUGUCAAAGAUUAUUAGGUUUUGUUCCUUCUCGUGAAGACUUCAAAACAAAUUCCAUCAAGGUCGCUGCAUUUAAUUCACACAUGUUAAGCAAACCACAAUUUUCGAACAUGGCAACAUAAGAUAUGAUCAAUUAGAAGGCAAGAUGUUACGUUUUCUAGAUGAUUGCAGGUAUGAUGAUGGCGGAUACGUAUGGUGGUUAUUUGAAGCUUAUGUACUUGUUUGUGAUCGAAGACAUCGAUAAAAUUGAAUCUUAUAGUUGGGGGAGUGCGACCUUGGCAUACAUGCAUCAUUUUCUUUGCAAAGCUUCACAGAGUACCCAAAAUGAGAUAGUCGAAUUUUUGCCACUACUUCAGAUUUGGGCGUGGGAGAGAGUCACUAUCCUCCGUCCUCAAAUAGUAGCCCAGAAAGAGAACUAUUUCUCCUGUUGAUUUGCCCAGAGGUCCACAUGUUACUAGAUGGUUUGCGCAUCUUAGUUGGACGAAUACUACCAAGCAUAUAUUGAAAGUUUAUAAGAAUGCAUUUGACUCUAUGAUAGAAGAUCAGUCUAUUUGAAAAUCGUAUUCCGAUGAUUUAAUUGAAGUCUUCCUCUCUAUUGUCAUGCAUGACGAGACAUAUGGCGAGUUAGAGUUUCAAUUUUUUGUUGGGAUGUAGUCGAGGUUCAUUUGUCAGAUCGUGUUAUGAGACAAUUUGGACUACAACAAGCUAUACCAACUCCGUUUCCAUUUGAUUCCAACCACUUUUGUCAUGAUCGUCGGGGAAGACCAAAUACAAAUUGGUAGUUGGAACUUGCACAUUAGUUAUCAUUUUGGAACCAACGUCUCCAAUAUAGUCGUGAUGCACCGGUUAAUAAUGAACCACUUCGCUAUGAUGAUCCAUAUUUUAUUUGGUUCAGCCGCAUUACUCGUCUUGUUAUUGGUAAUCCCAAUUCACGUCCUCAAAAUCAACAAGAAUAUGUGCCUAAUUCGACGUCAUAUGAAACUAUGUGCACGACUAUUCAAGAUAGUGAACCAUCAAGGAAGGAGAAGCGUAAAAUUAAACUUAAGCCUUGUGGGACUGGUACUUUCACAUCUUACGUUUUUUAUUUGGUUUUACUCUCUUUUUGAAUAGUAGAACAUCUAUGUUUUCUUUAUAGGCGGUCACUAUGCUAUCCAACAUGUAAAAAAAACAGAGCAAAGAAUAAGUAAUGAAAAUUGAUGUUGCUGAAAUCUUUUGGUGCUGCUGAAAAUUGCAGCCAGUUUAGUUGAAAAUUUUUGUUGCUGCUGAAAAUUGCGGUCUGUACCGCUAAAAAUUGGUGCUAGUAUUGCUGAAAAUUGGUGCAGCUGAAAAUUGCAGCCACUACUGCUGAAAGUUUUUGUUGGUGCUGAAAAUUGUAGCUAGUACUGUUAAAAAUUGGUGAGGCUGAAAUUUUUUUGUACUGCUGAAAAUCGCCUAGUCCUGCUGAAACUUUUUGUUGUUGCUGAAAAUUUUUGGUUCUACUCAACCUAACAU